AUGGUCGAAGGCUCGGAGUUGGACAUCACCAAUCUCAAGUUCCUCCUUCUCUGCUUCCAACAGAUGUCGAGCCUCAAGAUCAACUUCAAUAAGAGUGACGUUAUGGUGAUGGGGUACUCCCCCUCUGAGUCGGUGGCCAUUGCCAACCGUCUUAAUUGCCGCCUGGGCUCUUUCCCCACUACCUAUCUGGGGACGCCCAUUAGUGACUCGCGUCUUUCUGUUGCCGACUUGCGCCCCUCCGUGACCAAGCUC
rnacentral:rRNA from 1 species